GAAAACCUGGAAACUACCGUUGGAUCGAGAAAUUGACGUCCGAGAUUCGUCCACGUCACCAUGAGUUAAAAUUUAACUCACGGAUUCACUCAUGCGUUAAAAUUUUACUGGGAGUUAAAUUUUAACUUAUGGUGAUGUGGAUGAAUCUCGGACGUCAAUUACUCGAUCCAACAGUAGUUUCCAAGUUUUC
rnacentral:pre_miRNA from 1 species